ACCCCUUCAUAUUUAAAAAGUUCUUUACAAUUUUCUAGUAAGACUAAGUGUAUUGGCUAUUUUAUUUGUGUGAGAAUUAUGAUUGAUUUAUUUAUAGUUAAUAAAAUUUUGCCAGAAAAAAUUAAAAUAAUUAUAAUAUUACUUUCAACAAGAAUCCUUUUGACUCAUAACUGGAUUUUCGGUGAGAUUGAGGUUCGAAGACUGGGCAGGCCACUCCAUGGCCUUAAUGCACUUCUUUUUUUUAGUUACUCCUUAGUUGCCAUGGUCGUAAGUUUUGGGUUAUUGCCGUGAUAGAAGAUCCAUUUUCAGUUUCCUGGCCUGACGUAAGGAGCUUGCCCCCCAAGAUUUCCCCGAGGAUAGUCCAUCCUCCCUUCGUUGUGGUGAUGUAGUUAACUUCCCUUUCCAGAGAAACACUCUCAAAACAUAAUGUUUCCAUACCCAUCCUUGACAAUUGGGAUUUUUCUUCUUCCACUUACUUUUUUAUCGUUCAUAUAAUCAAAUCACUAUUAAAAUAGACCUUCCAUUAAAAUUAUAAACCGUUCUUUUCUUUGUCAUGGGCAAACUUACAAAAUCGGAAAGCCAUGGAAUACUUAUUGUCUCCUCCAGACGGAGUAACGUCAAUGCCAUAGUAUUUAACUUUCAAAUACCAUUGGAUCAUGCUUGAGCUGCGACCAGAUUAUGAUUAUCUAUCCAUGACGAUGUCAAUAAAUGUGGUAUUGAACUUAAUUGAAAUUGAUGAAUCUAAUGGUUGAAGCUUUCAAUUGAUUUAACAGAUUUACUUUUAUCUGAUAAAUUAUUUAUUUUUGUUCCGAAAUGAUUUUGGCUGUUCAUUUCAUCA
rnacentral:lncRNA from 1 species